AUUGAACGCUGGCGGCAGGCCUAACACAUGCAAGUCGAGCGGAUGAAGGGAGCUUGCUCCUGGAUUCAGCGGCGGACGGGUGAGUAAUGCCUAGGAAUCUGCCUGGUAUUGGGUGGUAACGUCCGGAAACGGGCGCUAAUACCGCAUACGUCCUGAGGGUGAAAGUUGGGGAUCUUCGGACCUCACGCUAUCAGAUGGGCCUAGGUCGGAUUAGCUAGUUGGUGGGGUAAAGGCCUACCAAGGCGACGAUCCGUAACUGGUCUGAGAGGAUGAUCAGUCACACUGGAACUGAGACACGGUCCAGACUCCUACGGGAGGCAGCAGUGGGGAAUAUUGGACAAUGGGCGAAAGCCUGAUCCAGCCAUGCCGCGUGUGUGAAGAAGGUCUUCGGAUUGUAAAGCACUUUAAGUUGGGAGGAAGGGCAGUAAGUUAAUACCUUGCUGUUUUGACGGUACCAACAGAAUAAGCACCGGCUAACUACGUG
rnacentral:rRNA from 1 species